rnacentral:rRNA from 1 species
ACGGGGGGUGCAAGCGUUGUUCGGAAUUAUUGGGCUUAAAGCGCGUGUAGGCGGUUUGUUAAGUCUGAUGUGAAAGCCCCGGGCUCAACCUGGGAAGUGCAUUGGAAACUGGCAGACUUGAAUACGGGAGAGGGUAGUGGAAUUCCUGGUGUAGGAGUGAAAUCCGUAGAUAUGAGGCGGAACACCGAUGGCGAAGGCAGCUCACUGGACCGAUACUGACGCUGAGGCGCGAAAGCGUGGGUAGCAAACAG